CAGCAGCCGCGGUAAUACGUAGGUGGCAAGCGUUGUCCGGAAUUAUUGGGCGUAAAGCGCAUGUAGGCGGUAAUUUAAGUCUGUCGUGAAACUGCGGGGCUCAGCCCCGUAUGGCGAUGGAAACUGGGUUACUUGAGUGCAGGAGAGGAAAGGGGAACUCCCAGUGUAGCGGUGAAAUGCGUAGAUAUUGGGAAGAACACCGGUGGCGAGGGCGCCUUUCUGGACUGUGUCUGACGCUGAGAUGCGAAAGCCAGGGUAGCGAACGGGAUUAGAUACCCCGGUAGUCCUGGCCGUAAACGAUGGGUACUAGGUGUGGGAGGUAUCGACCCCUUCCGUGCCGGAGCUAACGCAAUAAGUACCCCGCCUGGGGAGUACGGCCGCAAGGCUUAAACUCAAAGGAAUUGACGG
rnacentral:rRNA from 1 species